rnacentral:rRNA from 1 species
UACGUAGGUGACCAGCGUUGUCCGGAUUUACUGGGCGUAAAGAGCGCGCAGGCGGUCGUUCAAGUCGAGUGUGAAAGCCCCCGGCUCAACUGGGGAGGGUCACUUGAUACUGAUCGACUCGAAGGCAGGAGAGGGAAGCGGAAUUCCCGGUGUAGUGGUGAAAUACGUAGAUAUCGGGAGGAACACCAGUGGCGAAGGCGGCUUCCUGGCCUGUUCUUGACGCUGAGGCGCGAAAGCGUGGGGAUCAAACAGG